CAAUGAUGUGAUUGAUUCGAAAUCCAGGAUGCAUUUAGUUACGAUGAUGAUGAUCCCUGAGGAAAAAUUACUCGAUGCUGAGUUCUGCAAGCCACUCAUUCACUGGUNNNNNNNAGUUGUAUGAGUCAUUGAAAAAUAACAAUAUUACCAGUCCUAAAAAAUUGCAGGAUUGGUUAUACAAGUUAUGCCAAGCUAUGUUCAAACCGCAAAAUCUCCUCUUUCUGGCGUGCUCAAAUGAUCCUAUGAAGUUCUAUCCUAAUCCCGAAUUGAAGUUAGAACCAUUACACUUCGACUGUUUCGAAUUUUCUGGUAAAGUGAUUGCAUUGGCAUUGAUGCAUGAAGUACAAGUAGGUGUUGCCUUUCAUCGUGUGUUUUGUUUCUGUUGCCAUUGGAGGAAAUUUCUGUAAAAGAUUUAAGAGAUGCAAAUCCAUCUUUUUACAAUAACAAGGCCAAGCAUCGUUUUCAUGAUGAUGAUGAAAUUCUGGAUGACUUCAUCAACUCUAUGUCUGAACAGAUAUCCUUUUUCAGAAGAGGCUUCGAUAGUGUUUUUGGAAAAUCAAUCGACAAACUGCUAAAGUAUAGGGGAAUAGAUGUUGAAGAUCUUAACCUGGUGCUAAAAGGAGACUUAAAUCUUGGAUUUAAUU
rnacentral:misc_RNA from 1 species